ACAACAGAUCGAUCGGCAGCGUGUCCGUUUCGGGACUCGACCGUCGGCACAAUUGCUCGAGAUGCGGGAAGAGUUACAAGAACGCUUACAUAUUGAAGAGGCAUUUGUUGUA